UACGGGGGGUGCGAGCGUUGUCCGGAAUCACUGGGCGUAAAGGGCGCGUAGGUGGUUUGAUAAGGGUGUGGUGAAAGUCCGGGGCUCAACCCCGGAUCUGCCGUGCCGACUGUCAAACUCGAGGACUGUAGAGGCAGACGGAAUUCCGGGUGUAGCGGUGGAAUGCGUAGAGAUCCGGAGGAAGACCGGUGGCGAAGGCGGUCUGCUGGGCAGUUUCUGACACUGAGGCGCGACAGCGUGGGGAGCAACAGG
rnacentral:rRNA from 1 species